rnacentral:ncRNA from 1 species
CUAUGGCUUGAACUAGUCAUGGCGGAAGGAG